rnacentral:lncRNA from 1 species
CUUUGUUGAUCCUUAAAGGACUAUGGAACCUCCAAUGGUUUGAACAAGAACACAGUAAUUCUCUAUCAGAGACGAGUCUCGAAUUCUACAAUAGACCGGUUUAGGCAGCAGAAACAACAACAUUCACAUAUGAUGUAGAUGAUGAAGGUAGCCAGCCAAGAGAGCGAGAUUAUUUGGGUCCCCAGGAGUCCAGGUAGAUGAUCUUGGACAUCGAAUCCUCGGUGCGCCUGGCUCUCUCCACCGCUUUCUCCCCUCCUCUCCUCCACUGAUCAAUGGAAGAAGAAGACAUCCUCUUGGCCCGAGAGAACGGCGCCAUGCUGCGCUUGGCACGCCCGUGGAGGGACCUGAGCGCGUAGUUCCAUCGACACAGGCCCGCCUGAUCCUUGAGCGCCUCCACCGCCGCCACGCUCGCUGCGACGAUCAGCGAAGCCUUGCUUGCCGAAGCCAUAUGUAUCAAUCUACUACUCAGUAGUUUGAACCUGUGAUGAGUUGCAAAUGUUACAGAAGUGGGCGACGGGGAAGGGAAACACAAGCGUCCAUAUAAAGCCCCCGAGGAAGGGAAAACAGGGGAUGAGAUUGCCGCUGGUUUCGGCUCAUAGUUGUUUCCCAGAUACAAGGGGAGGCUUUUGCUUGUUUACGGAUAAGACUGUGACUGCAUUGGAAUCAGUGAGACGGAUGGUUUGGUAGGAGAAAACGUGUGGCUAAAGUAGAACAAAAGGCACACGGAUCGGAGACCUGUGGGCGGCACCAGUAAACCGGGAAUCUAACGGUUGAUCAGCCAUCCUUGCUUGGCUUGGCGAUCCUGUCGAGAUGUGAGGUUUGGUCUCUCUCUAUCUCUCUCUCUCUCUCUCUCUCACACACACAUCUUUGAGUCGAGCAACUGCGGAUGGAUUCCCUUCUUACUCCUGUUUUUGUUUCGGUAACAAAGGUCACUCAGCAUCAGUCUCUUGCUGGAUCGAUAAUAGUAUCUAUCUAAAACAAAUUCUCUCUUUUUUUAUUGUUCUUGUAUGAGCUGAAGAUAAAGAAAGGGAUAAACAUUGGUGAGAGAUGGGAGAGAGUGAUCUUUCGAAGAUGUGAUUGAUUUAGCAUAGCUUCUGCCGAUGGAUUUCAUGUCAUCCUUUGCUCCUUUUAAUCAGUUCCAUCGAAUAUAUAUGAGAUAAGACGAGAAAUGCCACAAACAUCUUGAACAAACUUAUCCAUGCCAUGAAAAGGCCUCAUCAUGUUCGAACAAUUCAGUAUAUAUUACUGCAAAAUCGGAUUGUUUUUACAUAGGAGACGUAGGCUGAACAGAGAAGAAGGAUUUGGUUCAUCUUUGAACCAAACACAAAGACACCUCUCUCUAAUUGGGACCCCAACAGCUCAAGUACACGACCGUCCUCAGUGCCUCCUCUGCUUGCUUGGCCUUCGCAUCCGCCGCCUGCCACUCUCUCCUCGUGUCGAUGGAGGAAGAUGUCCUCUUGGCCCGAGACAAGGAGCCUACGGUGUUGUUCUUCGUCCGCUGCUGCAGAGAUCUGAGGACGUAGUUCCACCGGCAUAGCCCCGCUUGGUCCUUGAGCGCUUCCACUGCGCUCAUGCUAGCCGCGACAACGAAACAAGCCCUGCUUGCAGAAGCCAUAUCUUUAGCCUAUGAAAGAACUGAUGAGUGACAAAGAAGAUCUCGGUGGAAGUAGAUCGUGAGUGUCUCAAUCUGAUGCCGAAGAAGGAGAUGGAAGGGUGUCCAAUAUAUAAGGCUACGGUAAUCGAGGAGGUUGGGAGGAGAGGGUAUGGAAGAGAAAGAGAACCGGGGUGCGCUGCUGCUGGUUUCUUGCUUCUCACUCCCCCUUCCCCUGAUACCAGCGGCCAUAUUGCUUGUUUAUUAGCUUCCACAUGGUUGGAUUUGACACCGCGAGAGUGACGCCAAGGAACUUGGCAGCAUAUGUAUCUUGGAUCUGUAAUAUGUAUAGUAUAGUAUAGUAUAGUAUAGCAUAUAUAUAUAUAUAUAUAUGGUUUCAUCCAAUAAAUUUAUAUCUGAAAUAUUAAUUUCAAGAUGAUAUACGUAUUUAUUUAUCUCCGUAAAAUUAAGCUACAAAAUCUGCAUGUCCAUAAUAAUAAUGGAGAUGAUCACAAAACCCAAGCGAGACGAAUGGCGUCGUCUCUACAACACUCCUAUUUGGGUCCCCAGCAGUCCAAGUAGAUGAGCUUGGACAAGGACCUCUCGGUGCGCUUGGCUCUCUCCACCGCUCCCUCCCCUCCUUUCCUCCACUGAUCAACGGACGACCAAGACAUCCUCUUGGCCUGAGAGAGCGUCGCCAUGCUGCGUUUCGCCCGCUGGUGGAGGGACCCAACCGUGUAGUUCCAUCGGCACAGCCCUGCUUGAUCCUUGAGCGCCUCCACAGCCGCCAUGCUCGCUGCGAUUAUCAACGAAGCCUUGCUUGCCGAAACCAUACGUAUCAAUCGCCUGCUCUGAGUUUGAAUCUGUGUAACAGAAGUGAGUGUUCGACGGGGAAAGGGAAAGAGCACACGACAGUCCAUAUAAAGCCCGGAACGGAGGGCGGCUGCAGGGAAGGGAGAGGUGGAGGAAGGAGGAAACUGGGGAUGAGCUGCUGCUGCUGCUGGUUUUGGGUUGCUGUUGUUUUCCAGAUACGGAGGGCUUUCGGUAGGCACUUAAAAAAUAUCCAUCUACUAAAGCAGAAGCAAAGCCACACGGAUCGAAAAAUGGUGGGCUCGACUUGCAGUGGGUGCACGAGGAAACUGGGAAUCCAGCGACGCAGAUAUGGAUUGUUCUGUCAGCUGGGUUGUCCUGUUUAUUUGGUUUUUGCCUUCAGCUCUGGUUAAGAAUUAGGGUUCGAUCAAUAUCAAUAAUGAUGCUCGAAUUACGAAACAAGUAACUAUAUCAAUACAUAGAUUCCUUUGUUGGUAACUCAUCUGGAAUGACGCGAGCUUAGCCAUCCAUCAUUGCUGGAAAGUAUUUGUGUGAGUUGAAAACUGUGGUGAAAGUGUAGGAAGUUUACUGUCUCACCGAGAAAGAGAACACUUUGGCGAAGAAUUCAGAUCGAUGGACACAAGGAAAACAUUUCUAACAUGCUUAUCCACGCCAUGAAAACGCAUCAUCCAUCAUGCACGCUCCAAGAAUUCAGAAGAAAUGGUUGAUGAAUAUACAUCAUCAAAGCUGGAUAAUUUACAGUGGAGAAGUAAGCUGAAGCAAAAGGAUCCUCUAAUUGGGACCCCAACAGCUCAAGUACAUGACUGUUCUCAGCGCCUCCUCCGACUGCUUCCCCUUCUCCGCCGCCGCCUGCCACCCUCUCCUACUCCUGUCGACGGAGGAAGAUGUCCUCUUGGCCUGAGACAACGACCCCAUGCUGCUCUUCGCCCGCUGCUGUAGGGAUCUGACGACGUAGUUCCACCGGCACAGCCCCGCCUGAUCCUUGAGCGCCUCCACCGCGCUCAUGCUCGCUGCCACCACCACACAAGCCCUGCUUGUACAACCCAUCUCUUCAAUACCUCCCGAGUGAGUGCAAAGAGGAAGUAGCUUGUAGUUCUCUUCUCUCGAUCUGAUGCAGCAGUGGGAAGGGAAUUGUGUGCAAUAUAUAAGGCCACAAUAGUUGAAGACGAUAAGAGGAUAAGAUGGAUGGGGGACAGAGGGAAGAGGAGAGUGCCGCUGCUGGGUUUGUGCUUUCCGAUUCCUUUUCCCCCAAACCAGGGGCUCUAUGCCAUUUGCUUAUUGGCCUCCACUUGCUGAACUGGACCCAGCGAAGUAGAUUGGCGGCGUGUGCGAACGCACGUACCUGGGUGAGGUUCUUCUGACCUGUAUGCAUAAUAUGCGUUUGCAUAUGAGGAAAAUAUUGGUUUUGAUAGGAUAAAUAAUAAUCCGGUCAAAACUCAUCCCAUCAUCUUGAUUAAAGAAGUCACCUCAACCAUAAGAGAAGGCCUACAUGCAUGUAUUGAAGCAAAACGAUACGGCGACACAAGAAGCCAUCCUCCGCCUAUCUCGGACAAGCCAAGAGCCCUAACAAAACAUAUAAUCACAGAUGUCCUAUCCUGACGUCAUUCUUUAGAGGAUGCACUCGUCAACUACCACAAUCGAUAAUCCCUUGGCAGGGUAAGGGACACCCUAACCCAUCAUUGGCUUUACGCCAUCAAUCACUCAGGUAUAAAACCCAAGCCCCUAAGCCAAACGGGGACAGGCAGACUCUAUCUCAGCUCUUCUAAGAUCUACUAAACCCCCUUCACAUACUAUACUAACUUCGGUGUCGGAGGGAUCGGGUCGGGACAUCCUCCAAUGUCGAUCGCUUGUGCAGGGCUCAUGCAUAUCUAAGGAGCACCUCAGAGUGAUGCUGAGCGCUUUUAGACAAGGCCAAGACACCCCUCGAGAUGACCUAAAACUUCUACCAAUAGACAAGUUGCACCUUGGGACGAUCGUGAGUCAACUACCAUAAGCCAACAAUGCUUUGGAAGUCCACUUGCCACCUCGGCUACUCACUCGAGUCGCCUCAUCCAUGUAGGUGCGGACCCCAAGGAUGGAUCUACACCUUCGGGAUCGAACCAGGUUGUGUUAACUCUCCGGUCAAUAGUACUAAUGUAACGACAUUUUAGCACUGAAAGGAGGGCCCGAAUGUCGCAAGAAUAUUCAUCCACGACUUUCCCUGAUGAACUAUCAUGAACUUAGCUGAAAUUGCCUAAGCCAUGAGGCACUAUUAUGGCAAAGUCUUAGACUUAGCUUGAGUUGUCUAAGUCGUAAAACACCCUUGCGCCAAUUUCUCAAACUUAGCUGGGAUUGCUUGAGUCAUAACGCGCCCAAACGAUAUGCGGCCACAAAGGGUCAAUCAAUUUGCAACCUCACUCAGGCCUUGAAAGACCUGUAAAAAAAAAAGUGAACUAGUUCAAAAACGAGUGACGGACAAGUCCCCACGUCUCAUAAAAAGGGAAGCUUUAUAAGCAAUUCAAUGAGCACCUUAUGUGCAUGGGAGAAAAGAGAGGAAUGAGAAAAACAAGGACUUUAAAAAGUUGAAGGAAUAGUUGCAAGUCCAUAAACAACUGCUCACCGGGUGUUGGGCGCAAAGGCAAGUCCCCGUCAAGUUAACAUACAAACUUAUGAAGAUUUUUCAAUGCCCGACACUACCCCAAAGCUCCAUUUCCCUUGGUGCCACCCGGGGGAUUCUAGGAUGCUGAGAUGGCUGACAUUUUACGUGUAGUAACGGGCUAUAGAAAACAACCUAUGGCAUAUGAAAAUAAAGUCAUUUUGGGACAGUUUUGCCCGACACAACGAGUGGUUGCACUAUAACACUGAACCUAUUCGAAUAUACAUUUUUAUAGCAAAAACACAUAAAACCAAGGCAAAAUAUGUUGCCAAGCAUUUAUACAUAUAUGCAAAAGUGACGAACGGUUCGUUGAAUGAAGUUGUGUGGGUGUGCGACGAUCGUUCGUGUUAGAAUACUCUAGUAAAGAAGCGUUGCCACUGGUACUUGAUGCCUUCGGACGGGAAGGACAACUUAUGUCCUUCCCUCAGGUGGACACCUUCACCUUGGCACAAACACCGAGAUGUCAUUGACAUAUGUUUAACGAUCUUUGGGAUUGAGUGCGGGACACCUACUCAACCCAUUUGAUGCCUUCCUAAGACUCACAUAUCAAGUGCAAGCACUUGUCGGUAUGAUGUAGGUGAUUGCCCCUCUCCUAACCCAACUAAUAUAGUAGGCAGCCUCGACACUACGGCCAGCAAUCCAACCCCUGCUCGCCGACUUGCCUUAAGGAGUAUCCCCAGCCAGCUCCCAACAAAUGCCCCUGAAAUGCCAUCACCAAGCUAAGGUGGCUCUCGAAGCGUAAAUACCCUCGAUAAUAGAGCUCAGUGUCCCAUCGUAUCGCAAGGUGUCCAUGGCCAGAUCGGGGUCAUAGUUCAUUAACUCGAUCGAGAAUUCACUCAAAGUAUAACUUCGGGCCUUGAACCAGCGUCUAAACAAUGUAUAAAAAGAAUUUCUGCAUUUAAAGGAUGAAUAUGACACCUCGAAUGCCUCCCCAUUCGCUCAAAGCAUUCAAGAGGAGCCCAUUUUGGCUAACUUCUGCCCCUCAUUGCUAGAGGCCUUCAAUAGCAGCUCUGAUCCAAUGGAGCACAUUGUAGCCUUUAGGGCUCAGAUGUCAUUAUUUGACACAUCAGACACCUUAAUGUGCUGGGCAUUUCCCACGACCCUAAGUGGGCCAGCUCAAGAGUAUUAUAGUCGCUUGAAACCCCUCUUGAUCACCUCCUUCCUGUAGCUUGCAAAAGAAUUUGAGCACCAUUUUCUCGCUAAUGUGCCCCCAAAGCCAUCCAUAGCCAUGCUGCUCGGGUUGAGAUGGAGGGAAGAUGAGCUUCUCUCCUACUUCGUCGAUCAAUUUAUCGAUGAGAUUCGAGGGAUCCCAGAUGCCCAUCCCUCGUUGGUGACCCAGACUUUCAUGAUGGGCCUGAGGCGUACAUGCUUCGUCUAGUCACUAGUGGAAAAAAUGCUCACAACCAUGUUCGAAAUGCUGCAAAGGGCUAAUCACUAUGUAUCCGCUGAGGACAUGAUCUCAAGUUGAGUAGUUAGAAAAUAUAUUUGAAGAAUUAUAUAAUAAGUUGAUUGAUCAUAAAAUAUAUUUAAAACAAGGACAGAGAUGAGACCAACUAUCACAACACAAUUCAAUUAAAAAUCUAGAAGAAAAAGUAAUCAAAGCAACAAGAACUUCAAUAAAGGACCAAACAAGAUGCCUCCCGGACAUAUGAGUAACAUAUAAAGCCAUCAUCCUCCGUUAUACCAUUAAAGCAACAGCUACAGUGGCAACUUCAAUCCAAACAACUCAAAAAAUAACUUUAAUUAUAAUUAUCAAUAAUUUUGGCAUCCCGACAAUAACAAUCAGCAAAAGGUCAUCUACUAGCUCUAUGAUAAAAUUGGGCACGCAAUAAAAGUUUAUUGAUUUGGACCCAAGUCCACUACUACACCUAAUUGGCCUCAAGCAAACAUCAUGGCUACUCUGACUGCUCAUCCAAGUAAUUGAAUUAUUAACUCUGAUACUUCUCAUCAUAUCACAUUUAAUUUAUAGAAUUUAUUUAUUCACAACGACUAUAGAGGCAAUGAAGAUAUUAUCAUUGGUGAUAGUAAUAAAAUCUCUAUUACUUACACUGGUCUCACGAUACUUAAUCUAUAUAUAAACACUUUUACACUCAAUGAUAUUUUAUGUAUACAUCAUAUUAAAAGGAAUCUUUUUUUUAUUUUAUAAAUAAAAUAAUAUAUUUAUUAAUUUUUUUUACUUAUUUCUUGUAAAGGAUCUGAGCCCAAGAAUAUCCUUGGUUCGAGACUAGAAUAAAAUAACAAGUGUGAGUGACCGUUAACUUCAUAAAUCACCCAACCAAUCGCUUUUGUUUCAAUUACUACUCCGAUCGAUGUGUGACAUCAUCGCUUUCGUCAUCCAUCAUACAUUAUUCAAUGAUAACUAAUUUCUCCCUUUCUAUUUCCAAAUAAAGUAGAAUUGUAAUAUGCUUGUCUUAGUAAUAAAAAUCACAUACUAUCUUUUGGAAUGUCUUCCAUAUUAUACUCCAAACAACUUGAAAUUAUUUAUACUAAUGUCUAAGGCCUUAUUCUAACCAAUUCCUUUAAUAAUUUUAGAUUUUAUGUUAUUUUUAUAAAUUAUUUUACUAAAUAUAUAUUACUAUAUUCCCUCAAACAUAUGAAGUUAUCAUAGUUUUUACUUAUUUUAAAAAAGUGAUCGAGAAUUUCUUCUAAGCUAUUAUUAAAAUAAUUUACUUUAACGAAAGAGGUGAAUACUAAGCUAUGAUGACUUACCUCUCAACUAGUUAGCUUUGCUAAAUGAAAACACAGACACAUAACUGAAACAUGUCUCACCCUCAUACACUAAGCAUCUAUGCUGCUAAUCUUUUGAUCAAUAAUCUUUCAAACUAUAGUCUACCUCAUUAACUGUAUACUCACCUUUAAUCCUACAACACCAGUUAUUUAAAAAAUUAUUUUAUAAAAUUAUAAAUUUUUAAAAACUCAAAGUAUUUGAUUGUUUAUGUUAUUCAUUACUACGUCCUUAUACUUUACAUAAGUUAACACCAAGAUUCAAACUUUAUAUCUUUGAUGUUAUAAUUCUAAAACUCAAAAGAUCUUUAUAUCACGUCAUAUUAUCUUUGUUACAUCUUUCUCUUUCAAAAUCUUAUUCCUUCAUCAAUAUAAACCAAUAUAACAAUCAUCCAUUAUUGGAUUCAUACGAGUACACCUUAAACCCCUAACCCCUCCUCCCCCUCAAAUACACUUCCCACAACAUCAAUCAAUAGUUAUCUAGACCGCCUCCCCCCCUCCCCUCAAACACACCUCUCACGACAUCAAUCAAUAGUUCUCUUUACUCUAGUCUCCUCUGUUAGGUAAUAUUGAAAUGCAUAAACUUAAUUAAAUAAGUGUCACCAACCCUCAAAUACACUUCCCACAGGCACCCUGCUUGAUCCAAGCCAUGAAAACGCAUCAUCCAUCAUGCAUGCCCUAGGAAUUCAGAAGAAAUGGUUUUAUAUACAUCAUCAAAGCCGGAUAAUUUACAGAGGAGAAGUAAGCUGAAGCAAAAGGAUCCUCUAAUUGGGACCCCAACGGCUCAAGUACAUGACUGUUCUCAGCGCCUCCUCCGACUGCUUCCCCUUCUCCGCCGCCGCCUGCCACCCUCUCCUCCUCCUGUCGACGGAGGAAGAUGUCCUCUUGGCCUGAGACAACGACCCCAUGCUGCUCUUCGC